AUUUUAACAUCUGGGCUCUGCUGUCUACCACCCAUUGCCAAACUCACUGUUGCUUUGUGAUCUUGGCAACAGGGAAAUUAGAGCAAAGGAAAUCCAUAAAAUCACAAACCAUAGCAGAAUUUUAACACCCAACAGAGCACUUUGCCAGUAGUAGGAGAGUGGGGGGCAGGGCACUAUGGACAGUUACCAGCACCUCACUGUCCCAGCAGAGCAUCAGCAGGGACUCCGAGCAAGGUGUCCAGAGAAAUUCAAAGGAAUCACCAGGGAGAAAUGCUUUAUUUCCUUUGCAGAUGAAAUGUGGGGGAGGGGCAGUUCAUCUUUCUGAAUUCUUUCCCUUUACCCACUCACUGCUGGCUCUGUCACCUCCAGGUCUUCCUUGAGGCAGUCUACCCCAUAUCUCCUUGUCACCCUCAGUUCCUGCAGGACAGACCUCCCCUGGCUCCCUGGCAGUGAGAUGACUGCCCUCCCAUCUAGGGCUCUGUCCCCUGGGACAGUCAGUGCAGGGCCAGCCUCCGGCCUCAACUCAUCAAUGUCCUAUCUUCUUGGCGGGAUUGCAGUCCUGGGGGGGUCAAGGUGUGUUCUGUUCACACCACUGAGCCCACAUGGAGCAGGCAGGGCACAUGAUAAAGGAAUGCCCCAGGGUGGCACAGGGAACUGUGUGGGCUAUGCCAGGGGUGAGGUGACUUCAGCACCCCCAAGAACAGAUCUGUCAGCACCUCCCUGAGUAACUCACAGGCUCCCAAGGACCUCAACCACCCUUGCUCUUUCUCCUUGGUUGGCUCUUGCUGUCUUGACUCCUGUGUCAGCCUCAGCCUCUGCCCCCACCUUCCUUUCUAAUCUGUCAUCAGAUCUGUCUCUCCCAUAUCCCAUGAAGCACAGACCUCUAUCAUUAACAUGCCCCUCACCAGGCGCCAGGACAACCUCCAAACAAGUUGCUGCCUCCCCUCCUGCAGCUCUCCAGAUGGCAAUCAGCAGCUCCCCGCACCAGCAGAAUUUACAUGCCCUAAAGUGGUUCUCAGGGCCUUCAUGAGCUUCCAAAGAUAGGAAGUGGUGGCCAACGGAUAUAAAUAGAUUUUAUUGGACAUUGCAGAAUAUCAUACGCAUUUAGAUUAGAGGUCUGAAAGAAAAACUUAAGACAUUGCAUUUAAUAAUCUAAUUUCCUAAACGGGUGUGGUGGCUCAUGCCUGUAAUCCUAGCACUCUGGGAGGCCAAGGUGGGAGGAUCCCUUGGGCUCAGGAGUUCCAGAUCAGCCUGAGCAAGAGUGAAAUCCCAUCUCUACUAAAAUAGAUGAAAAACAAGGCAGGUGUCGUGGCAGGCACCUAUAGUCUCAGCUACGUGGGGAGCUGAGGCAAGAGGAUUUCUUAAGCCCAGGAAUUUGAAGUUUGAGGUUGCUGUAAGCUAUGAUGACACCAGGACACUCUACCCAGGGCAACAGUGAGACUCUGCCUCAAAAAAAAAAAAAAAAAAAAAAAUCUAAUUUCCUGUUGUGCCUUACAAACAGGAAGGUUUGGAGACCCUGGACUGCGGCAUAGGAGAUACAGUUGAAGAGCACCUGACUCAGUGCGCCCCUGUCCCACCACUUGGUUGUCUCUUACACCCGGGCCACUGAGUUGAAACAUACAUUUCUUUGUGACCACUACCUAGUUGACCAGCUCCACUUCUUGCCUUAUGUUUUUCUCCCAGCUGCCCCUUUCAGCUUCAGCCACAAUGAAUUACUUUCAGAUCCCUGAAUGGAUCUAAUUUCCUUGUGUCUCCUUUGCAUGUGUUAUUCCCUCUAUCUGGAUUACCCCUCACUCCUUGCCUGGUUAACUCCUAAUAAUUUUCAAGUCCUAGGCCAGAGCACCCUUCUUGCAGGAAGCCUUCCUUGAUUUUUGCUCCACUUAGCCCUGUUGCCUGUCCUCACUCCUCCUGAAGAUCCGUCACUCCUCUAAUUGCCUUUCUACCUGUCUACUUCACUAGAUUGGGAGGUCCAAGAGGGCAGGAACUAGGCCUUUUAAUUUGCUGUGAAAACUCUAACCCCUAUCAUGGAGGCUAACUCAGUAAUAUUGCCAGAGGCAAUGGAUCCUGCUUGGGCUUCCACUUUCCCCUGGUAACUUUCCUGGGAUGGAAACAAAAACCGGAGGUCCCAAAUGUGUUUUCUUGCCUCUCAGAGUCUUGUUUUGUUUUUCUAAGUUUGAAUUAGUGCCAACAUUUAAAAAUCUAGAAAUGUAAAAUUCUUUUCUCUAACUUGUACUGAAAAAAACAAAAAUAUUUUUAGGCAAGAGCAGGAAUCAUUCAUGGCAACCCCUACCCAGGCUAACUCUCAGCCUACCUCUUAGAUGGGGCUGCAGGUGACUUCCUGUUUCCUAAAGUUCCCAUCCAGCCCUGCUGAUUACCACUGCCUACGUGGCUCCUGGAAGCAGCCAGUUCCAGACUUUUGCCCCAGCCUGGGCUUUGAGGCAGAAGUGACCAUUCCAAGAGGACAGGAAUUUUCUAGGAGGAGAUGGAUUCUGACUCUGACUUCCUUUAGACAACCUGGGGAAAGAGACCCUUUUGUCUGUGGCCUUCUCCUCUGUGUACGACUCUGGAAGAUUUUUUAUCUUGGGACAGUCCUCAGCAGUUACCAUCUGCCAAAAGCAUGCCCUGCCACCAGGACCAUAAAUGAAUGGCAGAUGCGAAAAUAAGAGGUCACCUCUGCCCUGAUUUUUCUAACAUUUAAGCAGUAUAGCAGUUAUAUUUUUGGCAGCUGUUCUCUGGGGGAGCAGAGUAGCAGAGAUCCACAACUAUUUUUCUGAGAUCCCUUCUCCACUGCAUUCCAACUUAGUGCUGAACUUUGGGGGAGUCAGGAAACAGGUACAGUCAUUCCUCAGAAUUGGUUUCAGGAUGCCCACCCCAGCCCCACGGAUAACAACAUCCAAGCAUGCUCAAGUCCCUUAUAUAAAAUGGCAUAGUAUUUGUAUAUAAGUUAAGAACAUUCUCCCAUAUACUUUAAAUCUUCUCUAGGUUACUUAUAAUACCUAAUACAAUAUAAAUGCUAAAUAAAUAGUCACUAUAUUGCAUUUUUAUUUGAAUUAUUUUUUAUUGUUGCUUUGCUAUUUUUUAUUUAACUUUUUAAUUUGUGGUUGCUUGCAUUCAUGGAUGCAGAACCCAGCGAUAUGGAGGGUUGACUGUAUUCCCCUGGAAUGGCUCCCUGCCAGAAAAUAUGCUUGGUGUCUCAUCCAAUUGUCCAGCUGGUCAUCCAAAACAUUUUGAGUGUCCACUGUGUGCCAGGCACCCCCGGCCUAUUUUGGCACCCUCCUCUGUAUAGUGCUCCUUCAAGGCUCAGUUCUGAUGCUACUUCUUUGGUUGGCUUUCCCAGGCUCUGUGGCCCCCUGUCAGCAAGCUGGGUCUUCCUGUGUAUUCCACCCCUGACCUGUACUGCCCAUAUUAAAUGAUUAAUACUGGGUAUUUUCUCACCUUGGACCCUAGUCAGAAGGGCAGGAGGUCCUGUUCAACACAUGAUCCCACCCCACCAAGACGGUGCCCGGAACGUGCAUACUGGCAAAAAUUAUUUCACCGAAUAAAUCAGUGGUAUUUCAAAGAACAGAUGGAAAAUUGUGUGAGCAUUUUUGGGUGUCACAAGACUAAGGAGAUUCUACUAGCAUUUAGGAGGUGGAGGGAGCAGGAAUUUGGACUUCUUGUAAUGGAAAAAACAAUUGACCGCAACAAGCGGUUCUGUCUUGUACAACUUUCAAAUGUCCUGCCAAACCUUUAGGUAGGUUAAAAAGCCAAACGAACAAACGUCUUUACCAUCUGUUUUAUAUACGAAUACAAUAAAUUUUGUCCAGUUUUAAUAUAUACUAUAUUAUCCAGCAAUGCAUUUAUCAGGUUAAUGGAAGUUAUACUUUGUUCACCAUUGUGGCAAAUGACCGUGGACCCUGCUCACUACAGGUGAGUCACCAGAACAGCAUGCCCAUGUCUGCCUGCAUUUUUGCUGUCACAGUCACUCCAUGAUUGUAUACGAAUACUAUAUUUGGCCAUUUACUCAAGAUGUCAAGUAUAAACUGUUGGCACAAUUCAGUUGAAAAUUGUCUGCUAGGCUCAGCGCCUAUAGCUCAGCAGCUAAGGCGCCAGCCACAUACACCGGAGCUGGUGGGUUCAAAUCCAGCCCGGGCCUGCCAAACACAAUGACAACUACAAACAAAAAAUAGCCGGAUGUUGUGGCAGGCAACUGUAGUCCCAGCUACUUGGGAGGCUGAGGCAAGAGAAUCGUUUAAGCCCAAGAGUUAGAGGUUGCUGGGCGGUGCCUGUGGCUCAAAGGAGUAGGGCACUGUCCCCAUUUGCCGGAGGUGGCGGGUUCAAACCCAGCCCCAGCCAAAAACUGCAAAAAAAUAAAAUAAAAUAAUUAAUAAAUAAAAUUUUAAAAAGGAAAUAAAAAAAUAAAAAUGCUAAAAAAAAGAGGUUGCUGUGAGCUGUGACGCUACAGCAAUCUAUUGAAAGCAACACAGUGAGACUCUUGUCUCAAAAAAAAGAAAAAGAAAGAAAAGAAACUUGUCUUCAAGUAUACCUACAUUCACUCUUUUAAGUUGGGCACAGCAUGACUGGAUAUAAUCCAGAGCUCUUACAAAGUGUCUUUUUUAAAAACAUACAUCUUUAUUUAUUAUUAUUAUUAUCAUUUUGCAUUUUUUUUGGCCAGGUUUGAACCCACCACCUCCGGUAUAUGGGGCUGGCACCCUACUCCUUAAGCCACAGGCGCUGCCCUGCAUAUUCUCUUAUUAUGAAUCACCUUCAUUUCCCUCACAUCUCCUUUAUAAAGACAGGGCUGUGCGGCAGGGGGAGAGGGUUUGUCGCCUCUGGUGGAACCAGCCCCUUUCAGCCUCAAUUUCCCGCUUUGGGGACCAGGAGCAACCGGGCACAAACUCCAUGCAUUGGAGUACCGUAGAGAGGUCCAAUGGUCCCUGAGACCUGCCUUCACCUCCCAGCCUCAGCUUCCCCAACUGUCACACCUCCCAGAGAUCUACAAACGACCCUCAGUCCGACCCCGGUCCCGAACCCAGCUGGAAGACCAGUCUCCCGGUUGCGGCGGCGGUUGCUAUGGGCUACGGCGUGGGCGCAGAGACAACACGUAGCUGCCCAGCGGCGUCUAGGGCGCAUGCGUGUCGGCCUCCCUGCCUGCGUGCGGCAGGGGGUGACUCCCAGGAUUCCCGGCGGCUGGUGGGCGAAAAAUGGCGGGCGUGGCGUUGGCCAGGUGCUGUUCCCUCUGACUUAAAUGCCAUUCACAACUUCUGCAGCCUUGUUCUCUGUUGAACUCUUCUUCCACCUUCAAUUGCUUUCAUUUGAUGGUCACCGUCCCAUCCUGUUCCCCGACAAACCAUCAGAGCCUAAAGAUCACAGCUGUUCCUGCCACUACCAUUGCUGCCAUUUCUGCUCGCAAGCUACUGCUCUUUGAUCCAAGUGGGGAAAAAUCUAAUGCAUUUCUUAGUGUUUAUUUCAAGGUUCAAGAGGUGGCCAGCAUUCCCUGGCUUGUAGCUCCUUCCUUUUCAACGCAUCCUCAAAAGUUUUUUCAUCCUCACAUCUCCUGACACCUGCAUGGAUCCACCUAGACAGAUUCUGUUCCCAGUGACUUAAAAGCCUUAACUGCUAUGAUGAGAUCGCACAGGACCCACCCUCUCCUCUCACGCCCCCACAGGUCUCAAACAGGUUCUUCCUGGAGGCUGGUGGCGAAGACCCACGAGAAUAAAAGCCGAUAGCCUGCCAGAGAACAGUCUAUUCUGUGAGCAGGAGGCAGAGCUAGCUUCUCACUAAGGCGUCUUUGUAGGGCUUAUCAAAAUGAAAUAAAAAAGAAAGCUUUUGUCCUAUUGCACACCAGGGUCCUGCUGCUGUUCUGGGAACGUGUGGGUGGGUGCCACCCGCAGGGAAAACACAGACUCGAAGAGCUUGAAGAGGCACUGGGAACCCUGAUGGUGUUCUGGGUCCCACAGCCAUCUGCUCACUUAAGAAAAGGCUCCAGACAUUUCGCCAAGAGGUCUGGUGCAGUGUGGCUUUGCCUGCAUGCCGGUGUCCAGUCCUGUCAGCAGCACCAGAACAUGGGAAAGCCAAGGACAAGGGGCAGACUUGGGAGUGAGACACCUAUAACCAAGCAACCUGAUGUCCUAAUGUGGCUACUUACAA